rnacentral:pre_miRNA from 10 species
CCCUGGUGUAUCUUGGUCAUAUAGUGUUGUAGAUUCAUGAUCUAACACUGUCUGGUAAAGAUGCAUUCGAC